GAUGAACGCUAGCGGCAGGCCUAAUACAUGCAAGUCGAACGGGAUCCACCAGCUUGCUGGUGGUGAGAGUGGCGCACGGGUGCGUAACGCGUGAGCAACCUGCCCGUCCCAGGGGGAUAGCCCCUCGAAAGAGGGAUUAACACCGCAUGACGUUGAGUUGUGGCAUCACAAAUCAACCAAAUAUUCAUAGGGGACGGAUGGGCUCGCGUGGCAUUAGCUAGUCGGUGCGGUAACGGCGCACCAAGGCAACGAUGCCUAGGGGCUCUGAGAGGAGAAUCCCCCACACUGGUACUGAGACACGGACCAGACUCCUACGGGAGGCAGCAGUAAGGAAUAUUGGUCAAUGGGCGGAAGCCUGAACCAGCCAUGCCGCGUGCAGGAGGACGGCCCUACGGGUUGUAAACUGCUUUUGCAGGGGAACAAACCCCGGUACGUGUACCGGUUUGAGUGUACCCUGAGAAUAAGGAUCGGCUAACUCCGUGCCAGCAGCCGCGGUAAUACGGAGGAUCCGAGCGUUAUCCGGAUUUAUUGGGUUUAAAGGGUGCGUAGGCGGCGCGCUAAGUCAGUGGUGAAAGACGGUGGCUCAACCAUCGCAGUGCCGUUGAUACUGGCGCGCUUGAAUGCCGAUGAGGUAGGGGGGAAUGUGGCAAGUAGCGGUGAAAUGCAUAGAUAUGCCACAGAACCCCGAUUGCCAAGGCAGCUUACCAAGGCGCGAUUGACGCUGAUGCACGAAAGCGUGGGGGAUCGAACAGGAUUAGAUACCCUGGUAGUCCACGCCCUAAACGAUGAUGACUCGAUGUUGGCGAUAUACGGCCAGCGUCCAAGCGAAAGCGUUAAGUCAUCCACCUGGGGAGUACGCCCGCAAGGGUGAAACUCAAAGGAAUUGACGGGGGCCCGCACAAGCGGAGGAGCAUGUGGUUUAAUUCGAUGAUACGCGAGGAACCUUACCCGGGCUUGAAAGUUAGUGAAUGAUCCAGAGAUGGGUCAGUCCUUCGGGACACGAAACUAGGUGCUGCAUGGCUGUCGUCAGCUCGUGCCGUGAGGUGUUGGGUUAAGUCCCGCAACGAGCGCAACCCCUAUGGAUAGUUGCCAGCAUUUAAAGGUGGGGACUCUAUCCAGACUGCCUGUGCAAACAGUGAGGAAGGCGGGGACGACGUCAAGUCAUCAUGGCCCUUACGUCCGGGGCUACACACGUGCUACAAUGGUCGGUACAGCGGGCAGCCACUCAGCAAUGAGGCGCCAAUCCCGCAAAGCCGAUCACAGUUCGGAUCGGGGCCUGCAACUCGGCCCCGUGAAGUUGGAUUCGCUAGUAAUCGCGUAUCAGCAAUGACGCGGUGAAUACGUUCCCGGGCCUUGUACACACCGCCCGUCAAGCCAUGAAAGCCGGGGGUGCCUGAAGCAUGUCACCGCAAGGAGCGUGUCAGGGCAAAACUGGUAAUUGGGGCUAA
rnacentral:rRNA from 1 species